rnacentral:tRNA from 1 species
GUCCGGGUGGUGGAAUUGGUAGACACGCAAGCUUGAGGUGCUUGUGGGAGUUAUCCCGUGGGGGUUCAAGUCCCCCCUCGGGCA